ensembl:lncRNA
CUCUUUUUUCACUAUUUUAAAGUAUCUCAAACUUAUAUGCUACGUAUAUGAACGUGGAAACUACACCGACUGUUAUGUUAUUACAUUUGUUUUUUUAUCAAGCUUACCUAUAUUACUCUCCCCCCCCCACACACACACACACACACCUCUAUUUAUCACUCUUAUCUGUUUUUAUCACAUGUAUUAGCCCUAUUACAUAUACUAGAUCUACUGUUUAAACCAAUUUAUACUAUAUUGACCAAUUCGCUAGUUGCAUUAACAAACAUUCGUAACAAACAUUCGUAACAAACAUUAUGUACCAAACACAGUAGUAAAAUCAACCUUUUUUUUUUUUUUUUUUUUUUAUUUUUUUAACUCGUACUUUGUCAUGGUAGGAUUUAAAACAAACUUUUUUAUAUACUUUGUUUGUUUUGUAACAAUUUUUAACAUAUAUCCAUUAUGUACAAACACAACAAAUGAACAAAAAGGAAAAAAAAAAAUUUUUUUUUUUUUUUUUUUUUUACGUAAUACAUUAAAUAAAAGACAUAGUAAUAACAUUAAAAAAAAGUAUGCCAACAAAAAAGUCAUAGUUAAUUUAAUAAAAGGAACUAGAGUGUUUAAUCCGAUUGAUUAUGAAAAAAGAGAAUUUAUUUUUACUCUAUGGAAAAAAAUAGCACAACAAUUUGCGUAUACAUUUUAUGAUUUCCCUAUAUUAGAUAAUUAUAAUUUGUUUAAAAAAAGCCAAAUAAACGAAGCUUAUGAUUUUUACAAACAUAACAGACAUUUGAUACUACGUCCAGAGAUAACACCACAAAUAGUUAGCUAUUUAUUUUUUAAAAAUGGUUUUUUAAGUGAGUAUCCGAAGGACAUGUUAUCAGGGAGUACUACUACUGCUACUACUGCUACUACUGCUACUACUACUACUACUACUGCUACUACUACUACUACUACUACUACUACUAAUACUAAUACUACUACCAUCAUGAGCCCAAUCGACAAAAGUACCCGCAAUAGUAACAACACUCGUGACACGGUAAAAAAUGUAUACAUAUUAAAAAAUUUAAAAAAAGUGUUAAAAGUUUGUACAAUAGGACAAUGUUAUCGGUAUGAAAAAAUUAGCCACAACAGAAAAAGAGAACAUUAUCAAUGGAACAUAGACCUAUACGGAAUAAAUAAUACAAAUGCAGAAAUUGAAAUUCUAACUAUUUUGAUUUCCUUUUUUCAAAAAGUAAAUUUAUCACAUAAUGAUAUAAUAAUUAAAAUUAAUAAUAAGAAAAUAAUAGAAUUCAUUAUUAACCGAAUAUUUAAAAAAACUCUAGCUAAUUUUUCUUUUAAUUAUAUAAAUAAAAUUAUGAUAAAAGAAAUAUUACAUAUACUGGAUAAAUAUAAAAAAAUAACAUCCUAUAAUUUUAAAUUGUUAUUAAAAAAAAAAAUACCAUAUAUACAAAAUGAACAUAUUUCUCACUUUAAUAACAUACUUACAAACGUUCAAAAUAUGAAUGACAUAAAAAAACUACUUAAUUAUAAUGUAUUCAUUUAUAAUGACUUAAAAAAUAUACUUUCUUAUUUUUAUCAAAUCAAUUUGCAUCCCUUUUUUGAAGUCGAUUUGACAACUGUUAGGGGGCUGGACUAUUAUAACAACACUAUUUUUGAAGCUUUUUAUAAAAAUAAAAACAUGAGGUCUAUAUGUGGUGGAGGAAGAUACGAUUUUUAUAUAAGCGAUGUAUUUUGCGGGGCUACAUCAUGUGCUAACCCUCCAACAAAAAACGUACCCGCGGUUGGCUUUGGUAUGGGAGACGUUGUAAUAACAGACAUACUGUUUAAUUACAAAAAAAAGCAAUUACCUCAAAUUUAUAACAACAAAAUAAAUGUUGUUACAUACUUUCCAUUUUUUAAUCAUACAAAUGUUAAUAAUCAAAAUGUAUAUAAAGAAUAUUAUAAUAUUCUACAUAUUUUAAGAAAUAAUAAUGUAAAAAUAUAUUCGCUAUUGCAAAAUAAUUUGACUCUAUCCAAAGCGUUAAAAAAGGCUAAUUCAUUACAAUCUAAUUAUUUUUUUUUUUUCAAUCCAACGUCUAACAUUUUUAUAUUAAAAAAUUUAUUAACAGGGAAACAGCUACCCGUUCAUUCGGAAAAUGUUCUUUCGAUAUAUAACUCGGUUUGGUAAAGUGCUUUUUAUAAUACCCGCCAGUAAAUACGCUCAUCAACACA